rnacentral:snRNA from 1 species
AACCUUUCUGGCCUUUUGGCUCUGAUCAAGUGUAGUAUCUGUUCUUAUGAUUGUGAAUAAUCAUAGUCCCCCAUCGGGGGACAUUAUAUUCAUAAUUAUCUUUGGACGCUGGCGCAGGCAGUUCUUGGGCUUGCCCUCCUGUCUGCCAAGAUGGCCCUUCCAUUCCACUCCCGGUCGGCGCUGUCAGGCUUCU